rnacentral:rRNA from 1 species
GUCAACAGCCAUGCUACCCUGAACAAGCCCGAUCCCGUCUGAUCUCGGAAGUUAAGCAGAAUCGGGCCUGGUUAGUACUUGGAUGGGAGACCACUUAGGAAGACCAAGUGCUGUAGGUG